rnacentral:rRNA from 1 species
UGUGCCAGCCGCCGCGGUAAUACGGAGGAUCCGAGCGUUAUCCGGAUUUAUUGGGUUUAAAGGGUGCGUAGGCGGGGCGUUAAGUCAGCGGUGAAAGUUUGCAGCUCAACUGUAAAAUUGCCGUUGAUACUGGUGUCCUUGAGUGGCGACGAGGGAGGCGGAAUAUGACAUGUAGCGGUGAAAUGCUUAGAUAUGUCCUAGAACUCCGAUUGCGAAGGCAGCUUCCUAGAGGCCAACUGACGCUGAAGCACGAAAGCAUGGGUAUCAAACAGGAUUAGAUACCCUGGUAGUCCAUGCAGUAAACGAUGGAUGCUCGCCGCAUGCGAUAGAAUGUAUGUGGCCAAGCGAAAGCGAUAAGCAUCCCACCUGGGGAGUACGCCGGCAACGGUGAAACUCAAAGGAAUUGACGGGGGCCCGCACAAGCGGAGGAACAUGUGGUUUAAUUCGAUGAUACGCGAGGAACCUUACCCGGGCUUGAAAGUGAGCGACGUGCAUAGAGAUAUGCAUUCCCUUCGGGGCGCGAAACUAGGUGCUGCAUGGUUGUCGUCAGCUCGUGCCGUGAGGUGUCGGGUCAAGUCCCAUAACGAGCGCAACCCACGUUGAUAGUUACCAUCAGGUUAAGCUGGGGACUCUAUCGAGACUGCCGGUGCAAGCCGAGAGGAAGGUGUGGAUGACGUCAAAUCAGCACGGCCCUUACGUCCGGGGCUACACACGUGUUACAAUGGAUGGGACAGAAGGAAGCGAGCUAGUGAUAGCAAGCGGAUCCCGAAACCCAUCCCUAGUUCGGAUAGGAGUCUGCAACCCGACUCCUUGAAGCUGGAUUCGCUAGUAAUCGCGCAUCAGCCAUGGCGCGGUGAAUACGUUCCCGGGCCUUGUACACACCGCCCGUCAAGCCAUGGGAGCUUGGAGCGCCUGAAGACUGUAACCGCAAGGAGCGGUCAAGGGUGAAACAAGUGACUGGGGCUAAGUCGUAACAAGGUAGCCA